rnacentral:lncRNA from 1 species
CCCAGUGAACACUACUGAAUCAGUCACACACAACCUUCCUGUCCUGUCCCAGCCCAAAAGACAUUGAAAAGGUGCACUUUUCAUUGCUACCAAAAAUGUUCACCCCCACCCCAGUAAGUACUUUAACCUAAGCCGUAUUUUAAAAUAUUGCUUUCUGCUUUAUUUAUGUGGGAAAAUUGGAAAUGGAGGGGAUGUUAUGAAUACCACUUGGGGUCAAAGGAGGAGUGCAUAGAGGCAGUCAUCUCAGGUGACACCAGCAGCAGUUUCCAGCCAGAUCUCAUAAGAGCUCCACAAAAUCUCACUGGAACCCCCCAUUGCCACUUUGCAAGCACUGCCAAACAACCCAACUAAGGGAGGCUUCAUCAGGGUUGGGGAGGCAGCAAGCUGAGAGGACACCUUCCCAUUUUGCCUCAGGUAGUGAAAGGGGAAAUGCCAACCCUGGUUUAGAGUCAAGAACUCUGAGUUACACGAUGCAUUCAUCACACAUGCGGUGCAGUGAUAUACUUUGUAUUGAUCUUAUUGACUUAUUGAGAGCCAGUGUGGUGUAGUGGUUAAGAGCAAUAGACUUGUAGUCUGGUGAACCGGAUUCGCGUCUCCGCUCCUCCACAUGCAGCUGCUGGGUGACCUUGAGCCAGUCACACUUCUUUGACGUCUCUCAGCCUCACUCACCUCACAGAGUGUUUGUUGUGUGGGAGGAAGGGAAAGGAGAAUGUUAGCCGCUUUGAGACUCCUUCAGGUAGUAAUAAAGCAGGAUAUCAAAUCCAAACUCCUCUUCUUCUUCUUCUUCUUCUUCUUCUUCUGUACUGUAUUGAUCUUCAUGUCAUAUUAUGUUGAUCUUCUUGUCAUUUCUGUUUAAUUGUGUACCGCCUUGCUGUAUUUUUGCUGCUGAAGAGUGUUCUAUAAAUAAUGCUCUGUCCCAGCUUCUGCCAACAUAGCAGUUCAAAAGCAUACCUGUGCAAGUAGAUAAAUUGGUACCACUGUGGUGGGAAGGUAAACGGCAUUGCUGUGCACUCUGGUUUCCAUCACGGUGUUCCGUUGUGCCAGAAGCAGUUUAGUCCUGCUGGUCACGUGACCCAGAAAGCUGUAGGUGGAAAAAUGCCGGCUCCCUCGGCCUGAAAAGUGAGAUGAGUGCAGCAACCCCAUAGUUGCCUUUGACAGGACUUAACCGUCCAGGGGUCCUUUACCUUUUUUAAAAAAACAACCUAUAAAUAUUUAAAUAAAUAAACAUUAACCAAAGUUCUAACUAGAUGGCCAGUUGAGUAGCACAGAGGAAUGGUGAAGUGGGAUGAUGAUGGAAGUGUCCUGCUGCUCCUUGGAGUGCCGCAGAGGCCAUUGCCCCAAAAUAGGUCUGUCUCCGGGGUUCUUAUACUCUCUUAUUACAUGACAAGUAGACUGAUGUGUUGACUGUAGGUCUUCUGGACUGCAUGCCCCUUUUCUGGCUAUUUGACUCAAAGGUCAUCAUCUCAUGCCAUUAUCACUAGGUGUCACUAGGCAAACGGACACAACUGUCUCAUUUCUUCUUCCCAUGAAUAUUGUUUUUUAAAGUCCUGUUGAAAUGAGCUAGCUAUCAUCCAAAGGAGCUUGCUUCUCCUCUUGCAGAGGCUGUCCUUUCAGUCCAAAUAUAUCUGUUCCGCCUUUUCAAGCAUUGCAUUUUGAACUGAUUCUAUUAUAAAGGUCAGUGAAUACAGAGAUGCCAUUUUUGGCUCAGGCAGCCAAAUGUCCUAGGAGAACCCUCUUUUAAAGUCCAUCAUUUACACACCAGUUCCUGCCAUCAUCUGCCCACAUCCACUGUGCCAGCUGAGGCAGUUCCCUUCAUCCUUCUGUAAGAAAGAACUUGUCCCUGCUAUCAAGAAGCUUCAUCCACUUGGCUACAGAGCACAGGGGAAACCAUCAAUUUAUCAACCAGAAUAAAUACAUUUUACUCUGAUGUGGUGGGCUCACAAAUUACAAUCCCUUUGCUGUAUUUGAGGUAAUGGAAUUUGGAUUUCCCAGAAGUUUCAGUGGGAUAUGACCCAAGACAUGCAGAUUCAUUAAUGGUGACUAUAACCCAAUGUAACUUUGGAUACAACAAAUACAUCUGGAUUUCACAUAGCUUUCAGCUUAAGGCAGCAAAAAAGAAAUACAUAGUUGACUUCCUCGCAGCCACAUUUUUGUGUCUUUCAAAGCCCUAUAGAGUGCAAUACAAUUUGGAGAACGUAAGGUAGUGCUAUACCAUAACAUAAGCAGCAAAUCACUUAAUAUUAUUCUUAAUAAAGCCCAUCUGGUUGUGAUCUAAUGAGAACCACAUUUAAGUCACUUUUUCCGUCUUCAAGAAUGUCAUACAGUCAUAAGCAAGCAACACUUUCAAGAUUAUUUAUGCUGCUCUGUUACAGACGGGAAUCCCCAAGCCAUUUACUUUUGUUUGGUGUGGUUCUAGUAUAGUCCCACCAAAGUCACAAUCAGGACUUCAGGGAGUUGAAUAAAGAGGGACCUGUGGUCUGACACAGUAUAAGCUUCCUAUGUAAUUGUGUGCCUUGCCAAGAUGCAAGGGGUUCUUUUUUGUUUGUUUGUUUCUGGCAGACAAUAAAACACCAAGGUGGUUACUUUAACAAGUUUAUUUGCUAGCAAAGAAUACAAAGUAAAGCAUUAAAAAAUCAGAUUUCUCAGGGCUGGGAAAGCACCUUCAGAGCAACAGCUAUUCCUCUCACUCCUUCAGUCUAAGGCAAUGUCUUCAGUGUCUUCAAUCUUUAAUCUUAGCAGCUCUCCAGUCUCACAUAUUUAUAUUAUUUGGGUGUGGGAGCCAUAUCCCUGUGUUCAGCCAGGGGUAGUACCAAUGGCAUCAUCUCAGGUACAUCAAAGGGUUGGCAAGCUGCCCUCUUCUACGGUUCGUGUGAGAAGCACUAGUCCCUGUCAUUCUCAUGACUUUGGUUCUGCAAGCACAUGAAUCAAUCCUCAAUCUUGGCAUUCAGUAUCCAGAUUGACCUCAUGUCCUGAUAAGCCACUAUAUCUGUCCUGUCUCUGUAGUCUAAAAAUCAGCUCCCAAGUCUAUUUAUUCGUAUCGUUUAAUAUUCCAGUGCUCUGUGUUUAUAAAACCCAAUAAAAAGUUAUUAUUGCAUUAAUCUAUCCUCACCUGAUGCAUCUCUAAACGCAAUUAAAUCCUUACAGGACACAGCCUAGAAGGUUAUUAACUAAGCAAGUUCAGGCUUCUAUAAAGGCCCUGCAUAAACCAUCAGAGAAUGCCACCAUCUCCUUGUAACGUAGCUCCUGCAUAUCUUCCCUAAUGCUAUGUUCCUAACCAAUCCUAAAGCAAUUGCCUAGGCGUUCAAAAGAAUCUCAUGUACAACGUAUUGGAAGUAAAUGUAGGGUUUGCAAAGCCUCUGCUUCUGGCUCUGUGUAAUGGAUGCUAAUGGAAUGGGGGGGUUUUUAGGAAUGCUGGAGACUUGGGGAAAUGAUCUCUCUCAGCGGGCCAGCGCCUGAUACUGAGGAAGUAAGCAAACCCAGCAGCUUCUCAAAGCUUUCCUUCAGGCAGAAAAAGAAUCCACGUUUUUAAAAUAUAAAACCACAUGUUACUUAUGCAGGUCUCAAGUAGAUGUAUUUUAGUGUUGAAGCCCACCCCCAUCCCUCUUCCAGCAAGACUGGAAGUGAAAUUUGAAACAUUUCUUACCAUUGUUUUGUUCAUGUCUCUUACAAUGAAAUAUAUUGAGUGGAAAGGAGAAAAAAGUUUUUAAGGUUUGGAGCAAUUUAAUUGUGGUUUCCUUUUAAUACUGGAGCAAUUAUACAUGUCACUAGCUGAAAAGCAGAAUUACUUAUUAUGAAACACUAGCAAUAGCUGACACCUUGAUCCCAGUGCUAUUAACCAUUCCUAAAGUGCUCAUGGCAAGACCAUUUUUCAAAAUAAACACUAAUUCCGAGGAAAGUAUCAUUUUCUCCUACUUAUUUCCAUGUGCUGAUGGUCUCAUGUUACAUCCAACUAAUUUAAACCUGCUUACGCCAAUUAUUUCACACCAUGGUCCUCUUUUUUUUUCUCUGGGCAUAUCAAUCAUCCAAAUUAGUUCAGUUUUGUAAUAAGAGUAUAAUUAAAUCUUCCUUUUAAAAGAGCAUAAGCAAAUUUCACCUGAGCGUAAUGACACCCUCAUAUCCGUUUCUUUCCUCAAGGUCCUCAGAAGUUAUUUAAUAUACCAAACAUGCAUCAGAGGCCCAGUGUUUACCCUUUGGGAACAGAUGGUACAUCUCCCUUAACUUGUCCCAACAUGUGAAUGUAGCUCUCCACCCACCCACUCAGUGUUCCAGCCCGCAAGCACAUGCAGGGAUAAGACAUGUGAAUGCCAUCUGCAUAUGUCCAGUUCAACAUAUGCAGAAAACUACAUGGAUGAUUUUCCAAAUUAUAUCAUAUAAGCAAUUUGUACCUUGGUACUUGGAACUGCUGUGGUCUAAACCACUGAGCCUCUUGGGCUUGCUGAUCUGCAGGUUGGCAGAUCGAGUCUCCACGACAGGGUGAGCUCCCAUUGCUCUGUCCCAGCUCCUGCUAACCUAGCAGUUCAAAAGCAAACCAGUGCAAGUAGAUAAAUAGUUACCACUGAGGCAGGAAGGUAAAUGGCGUUUCUGUGCACUCUGGUUUCCGUCACGGUGUUCCUUUGCACCAGAAGUGGUUUAGUCAUGCAGGCCACAUGACCGGGAAAGCUGUCUGUGGACAAACACCGGCUCCCUUGGCCUGAAAGCAAGAUGAGUGCCACAACCCCAUAGUAGCCUUUGACUGGACUUAACCUUCCAGGGGUCCUUUACUUUUUACAUGUGGAGCCAGUGCUAAUGCACUGGGUGAGCAAGAGUCUACACUGGACCUCAGUGAGGGAUAUUGCCCAAUAUUAUCCAGUCUGACCCAUGGAUAAUGCAGAACAAAUGAUGACCUGGUUUGAACCAAAUGCUGUGAGAUUAGAGUACACUUUGGGGAAUAGACAUUGCUCAUACAUUUUCCCUCCUGUAAAAAAAUGAGAAAAGUGUCACUUGGCUUUUGAUGCUCAAAAGGAAGGUGCACACAGAUUAAUAUGAAUGAAUGUUUUAGGUGUUCAUGUGUUAUCCUAAAUUUUUGUUUUGCAUUGCAUUGUAUUGUAUAUUAAGAGUCUUUAUUACAUUUUCUGCUUCAGUGUGGGAGUGUUGUUUAUUUCUCAUCUAGGGCCUUUGUGAUGUUCCUCAACUACCUUGAAGACAGACGUCUGGAUCCCACGCAACAAAUGAGUAACGCAACUGGACAUUUAUUUCCUACAAAAUAUGAUAAUCUGGAAAUGCCCUUUAAAUGCUCCUAAGUAUCAGAAUGUUUUUGUCUGUUUCAACACUCGCAUUCUUUCCAGAAUUAACGGGGAGCGAAUUAUCAAGUGACUAGUUAUAUUUGGUCCCACAACCUUUGUACGAGGUGACUUAGUGCUGGACAGCUCGGUUUCAACCCACCUUCUGCAGGAAGUGAACAGAGCCAUUUGGCACAUAAAUUAGCUGAGCUGGGAAUUUUCUAUCCCUUAAUGAACUUUUCCAUUUAACAUUACCAGAAAAAUACACCAAGGAAUCUUAAGAGCUUCAUCAUCCUUGGAGCUGCGAAGUAUGGUAUGUGCAUUAGUGAAGGUCACUGAUUAAUUCUGUCUCCAUCUAAAUAAAACUGGUUGCAGUAGUCUGAUCCAAGGAUAGCUGCAACAUCAGCUGUUGUGUGCUAAUACCAUAGAACUUUUUAAAUGCUAGGCAGAGCAAUCCUAAUUCUGAUGGCGGGGGGAGCCUGAACAGCUGCCGUGUUCUAGAUUUUCACAGUCUACAAGGGCAGGGUGGGAAACAUGCAACCAGAAAAGAAACUGAUGGCAUAAAAAUGAGAGGCGCAUCACAGUGACCCAGGAAACACCACCAGUGGCAAUCAGGGACUCUAGUAACAAUGAUGUCUACAUCAUUCUGCUCACAUUCAGAGGGAACCAAUGAUGGGGCCAUGCCUACCACACACUUUCGGAAUCAUCACACACACACACCAAGUACAAUGAUGUCAUAACAACCCUAUUUCUUCAGCCUCGGUGUCUGAACCAGCAAUAGGGACCCCUACAGACACACUUGGUAUCCUAUUAUGCUCUUCACAACCACUGCAUGGAUUUUCUCUAUAUUGCUGCAUAUAGAGGGAAAGGAGGGGUGAUUACUGGUGGCAUGGAAGAAACUGCCCACAUUUCUGGAAAAUGAUAGAUAUGCUAUCAUUUGCCAGCAGUGCCCUUCCACAGUCUACAUGGGACAAACAGGCCAACCCCUACACAAAACUGGUGUCAUUCUGACCUCAGAAGUAGCAACAGUCAGAAACAGUCAGGACACUCUGUUUCUGACCUGAAUGUAACUCUUUACAUGUCAGUGCCUUCUUUUUAGGAGUGGAAUGCAAGACAGAAAAGUUGACUGGAAGUCUGGAAGUUAAUUUUAAGCUGGACUGAAUUGUGCUUAGCAAUUACUCAUGUUUCUUCAGUCUGCUUAUUUCAGAGUUGACCAAUGUGUUCUUCUAAAGACCUUGUGGCCAAAAAAAAGGCACAUCGUUACAGAAUUGAGGCAAAAUCUACAACAGCGAGAACAAAUUUGAUACUGUGGUUAAGUCCCUGAGUCAGCUGCAGAAACAUCUGCACUGGUUCUUAGGGUAGCAGCUGCCUCCGAUUGUGGUAUAGAAUGGGAUGUGUGGGAUGCAAUUUAAACCACAAGAGGCAUGUAGAUGGGAGUGCUGCAUCCUUGCCCACCUACUUCUCUCCCUCUUCCCCUUUCUCUCUCAUAUAGGCAUAAGAAACUGCCUUCACCAAGUCAUAUCACUGAACUAUCUAGCUCAAUGUUGUCAACAAUGGCUGACAGUGCUUCAAGCAGGAGUCUUUCUUGACCCUACCUGAAGAUGCAUGAGAUGACCUGUAUUUACUACGCUUUGAUUCUUCACCACCACCAACAACAACAACAACAACAACAACACCUAAAGUGCCUCACCUGGGAGAGACAUGUUAACAUGACAAAAAGGUGUCAAUGGCCCAACUAAGAGGAAUCUUGGGCCUAGGCAGACAGAGGCUGCCAAGGUGAAGGGAUGUAAGAGAGAGGAAACAGGAGAAUAGUGUCUUUAGGAAGGUGUGCUGGGAAGAAGAACGGAGAACAGAGGGACAGAUCCAUACGAGGCAGGCUGAGAGAGAUGCCUUGGGCUCCAGUGCCGCACUGCUGUGGGGAACAAGCCCCUUGAUAUGACCAUGCUGUAACUCCCUCC